UGUCUAGCCAGCCUGCCUGCCUUUG
rnacentral:piRNA from 1 species